UCAGCUCAACUUCUCAGCCAAUGAGUU
rnacentral:piRNA from 1 species